rnacentral:rRNA from 1 species
AUUGAACGCUGGCGGCAUGCCUUACACAUGCAAGUCGAACGGUAACAGGUUAAGUUGACGAGUGGCGAACGGGUGAGUAAUAUAUCGGAACGUGCCCAGUCGUGGGGGAUAACGUAGCGAAAGCUACGCUAAUACCGCAUGAGAACUGAGGUUGAAAGCAGGGGAUCGUAAGACCUUGCGCAACUGGAGCGGCCGAUGGCAGAUUAGGUAGUUGGUGGGAUAAAAGCUUACCAAGCCGACGAUCUGUAGCUGGUCUGAGAGGACGACCAGCCACACUGGGACUGAGACACGGGCCAGACUCCUACGGGAGGCAGCAGUGGGGAAUUUUGGACAAUGGGCGAAAGCCUGAUCCAGCAAUGCCGCGUGCAGGAUGAAGGCCCUCGGGUUGUAAACUGCUUUUGUACGGAACGAAAAGCUUCGGGUUAAUACCCUGGAGUCAUGACGGUACCGUAAGAAUAAGCACCGGCUAACUACGUGCCAGCCGCCGCCGUAA